ACUAUAAUAAUUUAAGAUAAAAUAUUAAUUUUGUAAAUUAAUAAUAAGUAUAACAUAUAUAUAUAUUUUUAUAGUU
rnacentral:tRNA from 1 species